CCUACGCGUGGCAGCAGUGAGGAAUAUUGGUCAAUGGGCGUAAGCCUGAACCAGCCAAGUCGCGUGAGGGAUGAAGGUUCUAUGGAUCGUAAACCUCUUUUAUAAGGGAAUAAAGUGCGGGACGUGUCCCGUUUUGUAUGUACCUUAUGAAUAAGGAUCGGCUAACUCCGUGCCAGCAGCCGCGGUAAUACGGAGGAUCCGAGCGUUAUCCGGAUUUAUUGGGUUUAAAGGGUGCGUAGGCGGCCUUUUAAGUCAGCGGUGAAAGGCUGUGGCUCAACCACAGAAUUGCCGUUGAAACUGGGCGGCUUGAGUAUGUUUGAGGCAGGCGGAAGGCGUGGUGUAGCGGUGAAAGGCUUAGAUAUCACGCAGAACCCCGAUUGCGAAGGCAGCCUGCCAAGCCAUGACUGACGCUGAUGCACGAAAGCGUGGGGAUCAAACAGGAUUAGAUACCCCUGUAGUC
rnacentral:rRNA from 1 species